rnacentral:piRNA from 1 species
UUUGAGUUGAGGGUUUAAUUACAAUAAGAC